CAAUCCCCAGCACCCACAAGGCAGCUCACAGAGCAAGUACAGAGCCUGAUGGAAUGGCAAAGGAAGUACCAGUCUUUUGAGGGGUAAGACCCUCUUCUCUUCUUUCUGACUCCAUCGCCACUCAAGAUGUGACCAUUAAUCCUGGAUAUUUUGGGGCAUGUAAUCGUUUCCCUGGAGAAACAGCUACAGUCACACAGUAAGCAGUUGUGGAGAGUGGUAGGUCCUGUUUGCAAGCUAUAUCUGAUCAACAGAGUCUUAAAAUGGGGAUGCUAUGUCUGGUCAACAGACUUAAAAUAGGAAAAUCAUAUCUGAUCAACAGAGACGUAGAAAUAUCGAAGCUAUGUCUGAUAAGUAGAGACUUAAAAAUGGUCCUUGGAAAGGUGGUAUCAGGAAUUGAUAGGUGUAUAUCCAGAAAGGUUGCUUGGUAUAAUGAACAUGUCUCUGCAAUUAAAAAAGUAUUGUGACAGAAAGGUGUUAUUUGAUGGCUGGACUUAUACCCACAAAUGUUUUAUCUGUCUCUGCCCUUACAUAACUGUGCUUGCAAACUGCAUUGGCUACCAGUUGGGUAUAUGUGCUCAUGUCUACAGGACAUGCCUGGCUAGACAUUUAUUUUUAGCUUGUUGAAUUUGUGCUUUGUAGUGCAAAAUAAGAUUAGGGGUUAACUGACCCAGUGGGAGUGGGGAAGGAGGAAGGAAAACUAUUGGGGGAUUUUUGUAAUGGUGAAACUUUUAUAAUGCAGAUGCUAUGAUUUAAUAAAAUAAUCAAUGAUGUCAAUGGGCAGGUGAGCAGGCUUGUGAUUGUAUAAAGCCAUCUUGAGCUAUUCGGGGCCACUUGCUUGAAAGUCAACUGGUGGUCACUGCCUUCACUUUGCACCAUCUUCCUUGCACUUCCCUGUCUCAGGACCUGAACCUUGCAGCUGGAGCUGGUCUUCUGCCUUGUUGAGGUAGGUGUGGCCUUGUUGGAGGAGGUUUGUCAAUGGGGGCAGGGGCAGGCUUUGAGGUUUCGGCCCAGUGUCUCACUCUGUACCUGCUGCCUUUAGAUCAGAAUAUAAAGCUCUAAGCUACUGCUCCAGCAGCAUGCCUGUGUGCUUCCAGAUAUGACGAUCAUGGACUAACUAAUACUGUAAUAUAAGCAAGACCUCAAUUAAAUUAAUUCUUUAAUAAGAGUUUCCUUGGUCAUGGUGUCUCUUAAUAGCAAUAGAACAACAACUACAACACUCUCCCAGACACUUUUAAAUUUUACCUCAGCAUUACAAUACUAACUUUAACUCACCCUGUCCACUACACUUAUUCUGGUGUUUUAGGUAAAGGAAAGCUGAAAAAGUUAUGUGAGGUUAGUAUAAUAAACUGCUAUGUGGGCUGGAGAGAUGGCUCAGUGGUUAAGAGCACUGACUGCUCUUCCAGAAGUCCUGAGUUCAAUUCCCAGCAACCACAUGGUGGCUCACAGUCAUCUAUAAUGGGAUCUGAUGCCCUCUGCAGAUAGCUACAGUGUACUCACAUAAAUAAAAUAAAUCUUAAAAAAAAAAAAAAGAAACUGCUAUGUAAGAAACUAUCUCCUUGCUACAAGUAUUUCAUGGGAUCCAAUUCUAUCCUUGCUUUGAGCUUAAUUGUUCUUGUUUGACCUAAUGUCAAACUCAUCGGAAGGAUUCUACUCUACUUCUCUUUAGAGGAUCCCACAGAGGUGACUUCAAAGGAGUGUAAGUAGCCUCCUUGGUUAAGGGAAACUGUAGCUUGGAGAUGAAAAUGCAGAGAAAGGGAGUUAGGUGUCAGGAGCUUUGCACCAGAUAUUGAGCACCUAAAACAGUGUUUCUUCUAUCUUUCUUGAUGUCAUAUUAUGAUUAAGCUUUGAAUAAUCUUCCUAGAAAACAUAGCACGAUAUGGAAAAAAAGGGGUCACCUCAAGGCAUCAAAGAGGGACAUCUGGCCAGUAUGGAGAAAAUAGGGUCAUUUGUUUUUGAUAAAAAAUGUGGAUCUGUAUAGCUCAAAAAUUGAGUCAGCAUCUUGCUCACACUCAGCCUUACUAAAGAAUUCAUAUAUGCAAAUAUUGUGAUUUAUCAAACCAGGGGCUGCAGACAUAGGUCAGUGGUUAUACCUUGUUGCUCUUGCAGAGGUCUUGGAUCCAGCUCCCAGUACCCAUGUGGCUCACAACUGUCUGUAACUACAGUUCUAAAGGACCCCUUUGGCACAGGGCAUGCAUGUGGUGCAAAGAUGUAUAUGUAGGCAAAAUAUACACAUAAAAUCAUAUUUUAAAAAUAAAACCAAAGGUUAUUUUUCUUUCAUUUAAAAAUUUAUUUUAUAUUUUGUGUGUGUGUGUGUGUGUGGCUAUGUGCACAUGAGUGCAGGUAACAGCAGAGGUCAGAGGUGUAGGAUUUCUCUUGGAACUUGAGUUAUAGGUGGUUAUGAGCUACCUGCUGCAGAUUCUGGGAAUUGAACUCAGGUCCUCUAGAAGAACCAUUCCUUUGCUUUUGUUUUUUUUGUUUUGUGAGACAGUCUCAGUGUGUAUCCCUGGCAGACCUUGAAUUCAGAGAUCUACCUGCCUCUUCCUCCCAAAGUGCUUGGACUAAUGGCAUGAACCUCUGAAGAUCUCUUUAAGAGUUAAUCUUGACACUCUCAUGGAUCCUAGAAAUUCUAGAGAAAAAUGUCAUAUCAACCAUAUACCAACCCCAAGAGGAGACACUGAUACAAAAUGAAGCGUUUUCAGAGGACUGUCAAAAAUUUUGUUGUUUGUUUGUUUAAAAAUUUGUUAUUUACAAUACAGGGUUUCCCUGUGUACACAGAACACCCUCUGUUGACUAGGCUGGAUUCACCUACCUCUGCCUCCUGAGUGCUGGAAUUAAAGGUACGUAUCACCAUACCCAGUUUGGAAAACUUCUAUUCAACUUCUUGGGACACAUAAAACCCAAUUUUUUUCCUGGCCUGUGAUCUAGGAGGCCAGGAAAAUAACCUACCUCUAACUUUAAGGAAGUGUCAUAGGAAAAGAUCUUGCUUUGAUUUCCUGCUAGGUACUCAUGUUAGAUGAGGCAUGACUAAAGCUUCUAUUUGAGGUUUUCUUUCUGUAUUUGUAGUCACUUCAUCCAUAUGAAAUGAUGAUCAUGUAAAACGUUCUGGAUAAAUAGCACUCCUGUGUAUACAGUACACAUACACUUUGUACCACUCUGACAUUUUUCCAGUGGUUUUUCCAAGUCCUGCAGCCCCAUAAUUAAUGGGUCCUCACUGGUAAAGUCUCUAGAGAAGCUAUAAGUAACAGAAUCUACUGUCAUCCGCUGGCUGCUCACGGGGAGAAGUGGAGCCAGUACGAAUAGGUUCUGCAGGGCUCUGGUCUGGCCAGAAAUGCCAAGAGAAGUGAGGAGGUUUGAGUGGCCUGCAAGGGGCAGGUAGCUGAGGUACAGCAGUAGCAACAGCAAAAGCGGCUGAGGCAGGAUCAGAGGCUUGAGGCUGGCCAACCAAGCAGGUCCAAAGUCAAGCAAUGAAUGCUUCAGGAAAGAGAACUCUUCCUCACGCAUUGCAACUCAGUAAAGACAGCACUCUCGGAUGAUCCUCAAUGAAAUAACUUGUGCACUUUAUUUCCUGGGGACAGAGACUAUAAACAAAACAUUUAGGAGUUGGGUGGGAUUUAGGGGUAGGCAUUUCUUAUUGGCUCAGUUUGAGAUAUUAGGGAUGCUCUAUUUGCAUGAGGAAGGACUCCAGGUGUUGCAUUAAGUGACUGAUUGCGGAAGGUCCUCUCAGUAGAGUGUCUUGGUUAGUGUUCCAAAGCAGGUACAGAACUAGGCAGGGAGUGGCUCCAUUCCUGUCAAUCUCAAACUCCUAGCUCAACCUUACCAGUUCUUCUGACUGGUGGCAUGGCCCACUUGCCCUACAAUCUACUAGUACUUCUAGAAGCUUAGCAGUGUUCAGUUUUAGUUCUCCGUCCUUCAUUGUAAGACCA
rnacentral:lncRNA from 1 species